GCAAGUCGAACGGAGUAGCAAUACUUAGUGGCAGACGGGUGAGUAACAUGUAGGUAUCUUCCCUUUGGUCAGGAAUAACACGAGGAAACUUGUGCUAAUACCAGAUAAGUCUUUACGGAGAAAGCUUUAUGCGCCAAUGGAUGAGCCUGCACUUGAUUAGUUUGUUGGUAGGGUAAUGGCCUACCAAGACUAUGAUCAGUAGCUGAUUUGAGAGGAUGAUCAGCCACAUUGGGACUGAGACACGGCCCAAACUCCUACGGGAGGCAGCAGUGGGGAAUAUUGCACAAUGGAGGAAACUCUGAUGCAGCGAUGCCGCGUGAGUGAAGAAGGCCCUUGGGUUGUAAAGCUCUUUCGUCGGGGAAGAAAAUGACUGUACCCGAAUAAGAAGGUCCGGCUAACUUCGUGCCAGCAGCCGCGGUAAUACGAAGGGACCUAGCGUAGUUCGGAAUUACUGGGCUUAAAGAGUUCGUAGGUGGUUGAAAAAGUUGGUGGUGGAAUCCCAGAGCUUAACUCUGGAACUGCCAUCAAAACUUUUCAGCUAGAGUUUGAUAGAGGAAAGCAGAAUUUCUAGUGUAGAGGUGAAAUUCGUAGAUAUUAGAAAGAAUACCAAUUGCGAAGGCAGCUUUCUGGAUCAUUACUGACACUGAGGAACGAAAGCAUGGGUAGCGAAGAGGAUUAGAUACCCUCGUAGUCCAUGCCGUAAACGAUGUGUGUUAGACGUUGGAAAUUUAUUUUCAGUGUCGCAGCGAAAGCGAUAAACACACCGCCUGGGGAGUACGACC
rnacentral:rRNA from 1 species